CUGCCCUCCACCCUCUGCCCUCCGCUCUCCAGGUGGCUUUCCCCAGGACCAAGUGUGGUUCUGCCCUGGGAAGAGAAUGGAGCAAGGGUCUCCUGGCAGAAAUUAGGAACCCAGGACUUUACCCACCUUCAACCAGCCAAAUGGCCUCGGUCAAUCCUCUCGAACUGCAUACCUCAGUAUUCCCAUUUGUAUAAAGAGGGUCUCCAUGCUCUUUGAGGACCAGGAUCAGAUCUGACAAGUGCAAGGUUAAGGUCAGGCUUUCUGGUGACAGAAGGUGUGCAAGCUGACACAGGCUUGUAAUUAUUGCACCUGGCCAGGGUCAUCCUGAACACAGUCGUCACGCCUAACCAUCUCUAGGCAAGGAGAUGGGAAGGGCUUCGGUGGGCAAAGCUAAGGAGAAGGAAAGGGCUCGGUUGGAGGGAAGACUGGGCUCCGCUCCUGCCACUAGCUGCUGUGUGCUCUCUUGCCAGCUGCUCACCCUCUCUGAACCUUGUUCUUUGGCCUGCAGAACUGGCAUGGGGCUGCCACAAGGACGAUGAGCUACAAGCGACAGCAAUGGGCUUCUGCACAGACGGCCCUGCAGAAACCUCUGAGAUAGCACCCCCUGCGGUCCCCUGCCCACCACCACCCCACUUUGCUUUUCUUCCAAUUGAUCUCCACCUGACACAGUGCACGCCAAUGCUGGUCUCCCUCUCCUUGACCCAGGGGGAGGUGGGGAAGCUCCUGAGAGGGAACCCGCUGUUGUGUUCAAGGCUGUGUUUCUGGGGCACAUGAGGCCCGGGCUGGGUGAAGCUGUGAAGCUGUGCUGAAUGGAUGCAAGGCUUUCCAGGAAAGAUGGCAAGGGCACGAGGACGGCUCAGGAGGAGCAGGAGGGUGCCAGCAGAGGAGCCCAAGGACAGGAGAUCACAGAAGGCCCUGGCAGCCUGAGACGGGGGUGCUGUCCUCUUUGUAAGCUGCGCAGCUGCCUCGACCCCUGAGCAGGCACACAGCAGGUGCGGGUAGGGGUCCUUCCUCCUGGCACAGACAGCCCCACAGCCUAUGGGGCAGCAGAGCCUCCACCCCGGACACUCCUGCUCCUGGAUGCAGAGCGAGAGGUGGCUGCAGCCUUGCGGGAUGUCGCGCGGAGGCUGACGGGAGCACGGUUCACUGAGAGAGAGAAGCCAGCAGGCCUCAGCCAUGGAAGCCGGUGCCUGAUUGGUGCCCAGCUGUGAUUAGAGAGUCCUAUUUCAAUGUGGGCCCCUUAGGCUCAUGUCCAGAGGCCUCUGACUCAUGGAGAACUGUGCUCGGCACACCGUUUCUGGACCCUCUUGAAGGAUUAUCUGCUAGUCCUGGGGCCUGGGUACCAUGUUCUGCAUGGACAGCCAGGACUGGGAUGGAGCCUGGACCAGCCCCCGGAGCAGCUGAGCAUCUACCCAUCGGUUCAAAUAGAAGGACCCUGGAUGUCUGCCUUGGAUGGCCGGCCCAGCCCCCUGUGGGCUGAUGGGAGCUCCUCUUUCCAGGGUUCUGGGCCUGUCUCCAGAGCUGGAAGCGCUGAGGACUCCCAGCCCUGGCCAUGAUGGAUGACGAAGCCCACACCUGCCCACCCUGUCCAUCCUCCUGUGGUGGAUGCCCUUGUCUUCUCUCCGUGAUACCGUGGGCUUCCCCUGGCAGAGCCCUCAUCACAAAACUCUGAUGUUUACUCAUCUCCGCAGCAGGCCCCGGGGAGCAUCUCGCAGGCGGCCACCCCGCCAGAGCCACCGUCCUCUCUCAGUGCUGGGUCACUGCAUGCAUUCAGGGCUGAGUCUCCACUCCCCACAUCUGCCUUUAGAGUCAGAAAAUCACCCACUGGCAUUAACCAAGGCCCCCGAGUCAGUUCUAGGGCUGGAAGGACCUCCUGAGACCCACCUGUGCUCAUUCACUUAUCCGCUCAUCACUCACUCAUCCGCUCAUCACUCACUCAUCCACUCAUCAUUCAUUCAGCAGUGGUUGUGGGUCAGUGACACACCCAGCCCCGAGCCAGAUGCUGCAGGUACAUAGCUCAGGAAAGUGAUGCAAUCCCUGAAUGCCUGGCCUUGGUGUGCCGAGAGACAAGUGAAAUUUUCCCAGGGCCACGGUGGGAUUCAGAAGGUGCAGCGUGCCCUGCCAGGGGGAGAUGGCAGAGGCAUGACUGUCCGGGGCAGACAAGACAGAAGGAUGAGUGGCAGUUAGUAGGAAAAUACACGUGUCCAGGGCAGAGACUCUGGCCCUAGGAGGCCUGGGGGUGGCAGGGUGAGUGCCCAGGAGGGGGACGUGCCUGGCACUCACACAAUGAGUCGGGCAGGGAACGCGGCUGGACCCAGAGGGCCUGGAGGCUGUGAGGAGGGUGAUCUGCCCCUCUCUGUAACAGGACAGCCCAGGAGGGUCUGUGCUCAGGGGUGCCACAUGCCCCUUAUGCUCCAUCUCACGGCUGGUGCCAGCAGACCUGGACUCUUCCAGCUUCCCCAAGCGGUGCGGGACUGCCCGGGAUAGAGAAGCAUGCAGCGACCUUCCAGGCUGCAGCAGCAGAGGGGUGGGGGUGGCUGGGCCUGCGUGGUGGCCGCAGGGGAGAGGGACGUGGAUGGAGGUGAAAUGGACAGGUGUGUGGAUUGCAAGGCAGCCUGGAUGUGGGUGUGGGGGGCGUCAUGGUCUUCCCUGCCACUGCAGACGAGGCAGCAGGCUCCUGGGGAAGCUGGAAGAGGCAGAACUGGGCUGCUCUGUUCUGAGGGCUUCUGCCCAGAGUUCCAAGUUCCAGGAGCUUCUAGGGGCUGGGGCCUGCCUGCAUAGUGAGGGGAUGAGUCCAGGUCUGCGGCACAUGGCCUCUGCCGUCGGCCUUGCUCUCAGUGCAGAGCCGGCCUCGUCCUCAUUGUGUGGCUCAGGAGAUGGAGGCCCAGAGAGGCGAGGCUGGCACCUGCACAGGCCAGCUGCAUAACCCAGGUCCAAUUCCAGGUCCCAGAGCCAGGCUGCAUGUUGACCCACUGCCAGGGAUGACGGGCAGACUGCUACUCCCAACAGUGCCUCAGCUUUGUCACCUGGAGGGCAGGAGGGCAACAGGACCUGCUUGGAAGCUGAGAGUCCACAUGCCCAGCAGGCAUCCCGCCCUCCUCCGCCUCUUGACAAAGCAGGCCGGUCAUGCUUCUGACACCAGGGCCGUGAGGAACGGCGUCCCCCUCCCUGGGUCCGUAGGCCUUUGACAGGUGGGGAUGCCUGUCCCUGCUGGGCCCCAGGUUUGUAUUUGCAGCCACAGAGCAGAGCAGGGAAGAGCCAAACUGACCCACCAGGAACCUCAGCUCUUCCCUGUCUGGGUCCUGCCCUGACCACAUCCGUCACUGUCAACACCGGGAGGAGAGUGUGCGGCAGCCCACGCUCCCUGAUGGCAGCCUUCCCCAGAGAGCCAGGCCCACCCCACCGACCCCAGCCUGGGGUCUCUCAAAGGCUCUGGGCACUGCCUUGGCUGAAGCCAGUCCUGAGCUCCAACUUAGGGACAGAACCGGCCCACCUUGGUGGAUGGGGCUUGGCAACCUCCCAGAUUCCCGAACACCCCCAUAGGCCCCUUUCAGCCUCAGGUUUGGAGAGGCAGAGGGGGAAAGGUCCCAGCUAGCCAGCCAGGGGCAGGGAGAAGGUGUGCUGGUCUGGUCAGUUACCUCCCUGACUUCCUCAUCCAUGUGGCAGCUGAAGCCUGUGACAGGAAGAGGCAAAACAAAAACCAAACCUGUCCCUAAAGGUUAAGCUUAUUGGUCCUUACGUGGGGGUGUAAAGUGUUUUAUUCAGGUAAGCUGACGCAUCCUGUUAGCUGAGCUAAACCAGACAGAGCUGACUGGAGGAGGCAGGGCUGAUUUGAAAGAUGAACCUCCAGCCGAGAGCGCCUGUGAGGAUGCUUGGGGGCAUCAGGAUCUUCCUCCUGCAAAGCUGCAGGUCCUCAUGUGCCUGAUGCUCUCCCACUAAUGGUUAGCUCUGUGACCUCCUCCAGGUUGCCUCAGUUACCUCAAAUGUAAAAUGCAGAAUGAAGUCCCCCCUCCCCACCGCAGAUGGGACACAGGUGAAGAAAGGUGGUCCGGUGACCUGCCCCAUCCCAGGUGGCUCUUACUGAAGGUCGGCUUCUAUUGUUAGGCCACGUGCACGUCCUUUACCUGGAAGAUGAUUGAAACCUGCACCUGGACAGUGCUACCAGCUGUGGGCCACCAGCUCUGCAGGGACCCAAGGCCCCAGUGCAGGCUCAGAACGAGGCAGAGACAGUACCGUGAACUGCUCCAGGCAUCCACAUUCUCAGGGACCAAUCACCCUCCUCCGUGCCUGUUUGGGCCAUCAUGGGAGCGAUUCAGGGCUGCUCAGGCCUUGGUCCUCUUGUCCUAAGGGAAGAAAGCUGAAAAUACCUAGAUGUCUAGAUGGCCCUGGAUCCACAACAGUCUCCAUCAGGAGCACAGGAGCUGUGCAUGACCACACCACCGAUUUCCUCUUGGGAGACUUCUAGGGGUGGGGGGCUGUGGUAGCAAAUACAGAGUGUGUAUUACCCCAGCGUUAACCACGCAACUCCUAGCCUGGAACACUUAAAAGAGGAACCUGCCACCCUCCAUGAGGCUGGAGAAUCAGCGGGAGUUUCCAAAAGGCAGCUUUGGUUUAAACCACAAGAUAAUGGAGGGAUUUGCAUUUUGCUGAAGAAACCCCAAAGUGCCCUCCGACAUUGUUUCAGUUCUGAUUUUUUGUUCCUUUUUGAACGUCUCCUCUUGAAGCAAUUUCUGGCCAAAUCACACAAAUAAAGAGCUAGAGAAACGGG